rnacentral:rRNA from 1 species
UACGGGGGGGGCAAGCGUUGUUCGGAAUUACUGGGCGUAAAGGGCUCGUAGGCGGCCAACUAAGUCAGACGUGAAAUCCCUCGGCUUAACCGGGGAACUGCAUCUGAUACUGGAUGGCUUGAGUUUGGGAGAGGGAUGCGGAAUUCCAGGUGUAGCGGUGAAAUGCGUAGAGUAUCUGGAGGAACACCGGUGGCGAAGGCGGCAUCCUGGACCAACACUGACGCUGAGGAGCGAAAGCCAGGGGAGCAAAGCGGG